NNGGGUAGAGCUCAGCGGUAGAGCGUGUGCUUAGCAUGCACGAGGCCCUGGGUUCAAUCCCACGUACCUCCA
rnacentral:tRNA from 1 species